rnacentral:rRNA from 1 species
AUGGUGCAACACGCAUGGGAUCGCCCUGUCGCCUCCAAGUGUGCCUUCAGGCGCAUCCAAGUCAAGUUAAAUCGGGUGGAAAAGGACCUAAAGAUUUGGGCGAAGGGUUUCUUCAGCAGCACCAGGCUACAACUGCACAUCGCAAACGAGGUGGUCCUCCGCCUCGACAUCGCCCAAGAGCACAGGCGGCUGUCUAGCAGCGAGCUCAGGCUCAGGAAACUGCUCAAGCUUCGCGUCCUUGGCCUGGCCGCGAUCGAGCGGGCGAGGAAGUGCCAGGCCUCGCGUGUCACCUGGCUCAGGGACGGUGAAGCCCGGACGACAUUUUUCCAGGCCAAGAUCAACUCCAGGAGGCAGAAAAACAUCAUCCAUGCCAUCCACACGACAUAAUCCAUUGUUACCUCCCACGAUGACAAAGCCAGGGCGAUCCACGACCACUUCAGCACCACCCUAGGGACGGCACCCGGCAGGGACACCACCAUCGACUGGAGCUCGAUCAACCUACCCUCCCUGCCGGCAGCUGGCCUGGAUAAUCCCUUCUCGACGGAAGAGGUCUGGCAUGCGAUCUGCGCCUCGCCUCAGGAAAAGGCGCUGGGGCCAGACGGGUUCAACGGGAACCUUCUUCCUAACCUGCUGGCCGAUCAUCAAGCUCGACAUCAUGGCGGUUUUUCACCAAUUCUAUCACCUGGCGGGGGGAGACAUGGCCGCCAUAAACCGGACCCUGGUGGUGUUACUUCCAAAGAAGGACGGGGCUACGGCGAUCACGGACUACCGCCCAAUUAG